rnacentral:misc_RNA from 1 species
AACGCACGAGACCUGCGGACCUGCGGAAGGAUCAUUACCGAGUUUACAACUCCCAAACCCAAUGUGAACGUUACCAAACUGUUGCCUCGGCGGGAUCUCUGCCCCGGGUGCGUCGCAGCCCCGGACCAAGGCGCCCGCCGGAGGACCAACCAAAACUCUUUUGUAUACCCCCUCGCGGGAUUUUAUAUCUGAGCCAUCUCGGCGCCUCUCGUAGGCGUUUCGAAAAUGAAUCAAAACUUU